GAUUCAUCAGUUGUAUAAAAUGGCCUAUAACUACAUCAUAUUUCCAUUACAGAGCAACCAUGAGAAUACAUAGAGCCAAAGGUGAUCCCACAAGACAAGAUAGUAGACAAGUCACUCAUAAUGCAUCACCAUGAUGAGGCAAAUCCCUUCCAAGACAACAUCAUUGCAAUUCAUAAAUACUGUUAAUGCUAUUCUUCUUCUCUUGAAAGGCUGAAAUAUGACGAUGACUACCUCUGCUCCACGACGAAUUUUAAAAUAGUCGACCUUAGGAGGAUCUUUCCCUUAACAAUAGUGCUGAAUAUUUGAAUUUGAACCUACAUAUAAAAUCUCCACAAAUACCAUCGAGGUAAUAUCCCCAAUAUCAUUAUUUUGAAACUCAGCAAAUUUGCCUCUCCAUGUAUGUGAAUACCACUAACUACUAAAUAUAAUAAGACACCCAAUAUUAAAUCUUUCACAAUGAAGAUCUCAACACAUAUAACUAUUCCAGCAAAAUUGAACGCUAGUAGGAAAGUUGCCUUAUCUUAAUAGUCAUAUCCACUACCCCAUAACACUGUUUCUAUCUAGAGCAGAAGGAGCUCGUUACUAGUCAAACUCCAUCUAACAGACACUAUACCAUGUCCGGAUUGAUGUCCCCAAAACAGGCAAAUCUAAACUAAGAAAGAUGGAACUUUGGACAGCCGAAAGCGAAACAUUACAGCGGCGGGAAACAAAAAGAGAGAUAAACAUUAAAUGCAUAGGAAAUGAAGUUAAAAGACUGCUUCUCUUUCCUUUUUAUACUGCACCACAAAAAUCUCAUUCCAUCGUCAAGAAGAACAUUCUACCAUCUGAAGACACCGAAUGCUCAUCAAGACUAAUAAUAACCACGACCAUAUCCACGCCCAUUUGGAUGACCACCUCUAUAGAAAGAUGGAUGUUGGCCUCUCCCAUAAUCAGAGCCAUAAUAACCACGUGCAUACUGAUGAUCACCACUGGGAGGAACAUUAUCUCUAUAACGAUCUCCUUGAAGAGAACUUGCAGAAUCUGGAUGAUCAAACCGCGGACGUCUGCUAGGCCCCAAGUAAUCCGGAUUCGGGACUGUCAUGGAAAAGGGCCUCUUUAGCCCAUGGCCAGUAUUAUCAUAACUGAAACGGUCAUCAAUGUGCCUAUCCAUGGAUGGCCGGUUAAUUCCUUCAAUAGGAAAUUGUUGUCUCCUAAAGAAGGCAUCAUCUGUGUGACCUCUAUCUCCAUGCCUCAUUCUAUCAACAAACAUUGGACCCUCACUGGUUACUGGAUGGGCACCACUGAAAUUCCACCUCCCCCCUCGUCCAAAGUUUGACCGUCCACGGAAAGGAGGAUAAGGGCUACCAAACUCAUGUUCAGUGAAGCCCAUUCUACCACCAUGACCAGGUCCACGAGGGUGAAAGCCCCUACCACGCGGAAAAUUAGCUCUACCAAGAGUGUGUCCUCCUCGGGGAAGGCCCCUUCCCAUGGGACCACGGCUAAUUCUGAACCCUCCAGAUAUUCCACCUUUCACAGCCUGAGUUUUUGGUUGAGGAUUUGAAAGCCUUGCUCGCACUUUUGCCUUCAAAUUUCCAUCACCCAGCUCUGUGUUAUUAACGCCCUCAACACAAGAAACAGCAGCUUCAUGUGAGUCGAAAUCAACAAAUCCAAAAUCCUUCCGCUUUGCUGUUGAUAUAUUCCUGGCUAGCGUAAUUCUUGUGAUCUCCCCAAAACCUUUGAAUUUCUCCCGGACGCGUUCUUCAUUCCAAUAAGGAGGGAGUCCAUCAAUAAAUACUGACUUCACUUGAGCCAUUACCUCUGGAUCUGGAUCGCGUAAAGGUUCAGCAAAAGCUAUUUUGGCAGUCCUCUCAGAGUGACCAAAAACAACAUCAGGCCUUUGAAGUCUUUUAUAUGCCGUCAUGGCAUCAGUGUGACAAGAGAACUCGAGAAACGCAAAACCACGACUCAAACCUUCACGUUUCGGAUCGGCCACCAAAUUAAUGUUUUCAACAGCUUCUACACCAUAAUCUUUCAGCUUUUGUUUCACGGCUUCCUUUGUCCAUGUGUUGCAAAUAUUUCCUAAGAAUAAGGUGUCAUUGUCCUCACUUGGAGAAGUUCCACAUCGCUUUCCCCGUAUAACUGGAUUUCUCAUUUCAGCCAAAGCACGGCUAACUUGCUCCUUGGUUGCAAACUUCACGAAGGCAUAUCCCUUAUUCUUGUUUGUUGACAGCUCUCUGUGCAUUCGAACAUCAACAACCUCCCCAACAUGCUGGAACACCCUUUUCAAAUCCUCCUCCACGGCAUCACGGUCUAACCCACCAACAAAUACUUCCAGCUCCCUCCUCUUCUUUCGUUCCUUUGCAAGGGCAUUCAAUUGAGCACGCUCAUCUUCCAACGUCUCGGCUUCUUCACAGUGCUCAGGCACAUCAUCUUCCACAAAUUCUUCACCAUUUUCUUCAUCAGCAAAAUCCUCUAUUUUAUCUUCACCAGCUUCAUCAAGAGAAAUAUCCUUUCCUUUCAUCUUCCUAUCUGUAUCUUCCUCCAUUCUAUCUUCUGCACACUGUUCAUUUUUUACAUUAUCCCCUGUAGGAGUUGAACCAUCAUUCUUUUCUCCCCUUAACUCCAGUCCUUCUUUUCCUUUAUUAGAUCCUUCACCCUCCUGACAUUUCAGUUCUGUAGUAGUAAGUUCCUGACUGUCUGAAGAUUUCAUAUCCUCAAUAGUAGGCUCCUGAGAUUUGACAUAUGUAACAGCAGGUCCCUGAUUUUCUGACGUUCUCACAUCAUGGCCGAUUUUUUCUGACAAUCGCACAUCAUAGGCAACAGUUACUUCAUCUAGAGACAUUAUAGUAUUUAGAGCUGGUUCCCCCUGUGCAUCACCUGCAUGUUCCUCCUUGUUUCCAUUUUGAUCAACGGAAUCACCAACAUUUUUAGCUGUGGAUACUAAAUUAUUUGAAGAUUCUUCAAUUUUCUCAUUUGUCUCAUACAUGGGCGUUGGUCCUGCAUCAUUUAAGCCCUCUGCAUCCUUCUCCUUAACAGGAUCUUCCUUUGAAUCCUCUGCAUCUUCCCCCAUGACAGGAUUUUCCUUCAAGUCCUCUGCAUCUUCCUCCUUGGCAGGAUCUUCCUUUGAGUCCUCUGCAUCUUCCUCCAUGACAGCACUUUCUUCUGAGUCCUCUCUGUUUUUCUCCAUCAUAGGAUAUUCCUUCGAGUCCUCUGCAUCUUCUUCCCUGACAAGAUCUUCCUUCAACUCCUCUCCAUCUUUUUCCUUCGCAACGUCUUCCUUUGAA
rnacentral:misc_RNA from 1 species